CGUAGGGGGCAAGCGUUGUCCGGAUUUACUGGGCGUAAAGAGCGUGUAGGCGGCCAAACAGGUCCGUUGUGAAAACUGGAGGCUCAACUUCCAGACGUCGACGGAAACCGUGUGGCUAGAGUCCGGAAGAGGAGAGUGGAAUUCCUGGUGUAGCGGUGAAAUGCGCAGAUAUCAGGAAGAACACCAAUGGCGAAGGUAGCUCUCUGGGACGGUACUGACGCUGAGACGCGAAAGCGUGGGGAGCGAACAGGAUUAGAUACCCUGGUAGUCCACGCCGUAAACGAUGGGUGCUAGGUGUGGGAGGUGUCGACUCCUUCCGUGCCGUAGCUAACGCAUUAAGCACCCCGCCUGGGGAGUACGGCCGCAAGGCUA
rnacentral:rRNA from 1 species